rnacentral:rRNA from 1 species
GUAGUUAAGUCAGAAGUGAAAUCCAAUAGCUCAACUAUUGAACUGCUUUUGAAACUGAUUACCUAGAAUAUGGGAGAGGUAGAUGGAAUUUCUGGUGUAGGGGUAAAAUCCGUAGAGAUCAGAAGGAAUACCGAUUGCGAAGGCGAUCUACUGGAACAUUAUUGACGCUGAGACGCGAAAGCGUGGGGAGCAAACAGGAUUAGAUACCCUGGUAGUCCACGCCCUAAACGAUGUACACUAGUUGUUGUGAGGCUCGACCUUGCAGUAAUGCAGUUAACACAUUAAGUGUACCGCCUGGGGAGUACGGUCGCAAGAUUAAAACUCAAAGGAAUAGACGGGGACCCGCACAAGCGGUGGAGCAUGUGGUUUAAUUCGACGAUACACGAAGAACCUUACCUGGACUUGACAUAGUAAGAACUUUCUAGAGAUAGAUUGGUGUCUGCUUGCAGAAACUUAUAUACAGGUGCUGCACGGCUGUCGUCAGCUCGUGUCGUGAGAUGUUGGGUUAAGUCCCGCAACGAGCGCAACCCUCGUCAUUAGUUGCUAACAGUUCGGCUGAGAACUCUAAUGAGACUGCCUACGCAAGUAGGAGGAAGGUGAGGACGACGUCAAGUCAUCAUGGCCCUUACGUCCAGGGCUACACACGUGCUACAAUGGGGUAUACAAAGAGCCGCAAUACGGUGACGUGGAGCAAAUCUCAAAAAUAUCUCCCAGUUCGGAUUGUAGUCUGCAACUCGA